rnacentral:rRNA from 1 species
GAUGAACGCUGGCGGCGUGCCUAAUACAUGCAAGUCGAGCGAACGGACGAGAAGCUUGCUUCUCUGAUGUUAGCGGCGGACGGGUGAGUAACACGUGGAUAACCUACCUAUAAGACUGGGAUAACUUCGGGAAACCGGAGCUACGACCGGAUAAUAUUUUGAACCGCAUGGUUCAAAAGUGAAAGACGGUCUUGCUGUCACUUAUAGAUGGAUCAGCGCUGCAUUAGUUAGUUGGUAAGGUAACGGCUUACCAAGGCAACGAUGCAUAGCCGACCUGAGAGGGUGAUCGGCCACACUGGAACUGAGACACGGUCCAGACUCCUACGGGAGGCAGCAGUAGGGAAUCUUCCGCGAUGGGCGAAAGCCUGACGGAGCAACGCCGCGUGAGUGAUGAAGGUCUUCGGAUCGUAAAACUCUGUUAUUAGGGAAGAACAUAUGUGUAAGUAACUGUGCACAUCUUGACGGUACCUAAUCAGAAAGCCACGGCUAACUACGUG